GCAGACUAGAGUGCAGUAGGGGAGACUUGGAAUUCCUGGUGUAGCGGUGGAAUGCGCAGAUAUCAGGAAGGAACACCGAUGGCGAAAGGCAGGUCUCUGGGCUGUAACUGACGCUGAGGAGCGAAAGCAUGGGGAGCGAACAGGAUUAGAUACCCUGGUAGUCCAUGCCGUAAACGUUGGGCACUAGGUGUGGGGACCAUUCCACGGUUUCCGCGCCGCAGCUAACGCAUUAAGUGCCCCGCCUGGGGAGUACGGCCGCAAGGCUAAAACUCAAAGGAAUUGACGGGGGCCCGCACAAGCGGCGGAGCAUGCGGAUUAAUUCGAUGCAACGCGAAGAACCUUACCAAGGCUUGACAUGUUCUCGAUCGCCGUAGAGAUACGGUUUCCCCUUUGGGGCGGGUUCACAGGUGGUGCAUGGUUGUCGUCAGCUCGUGUCGUGAGAUGUUGGGUUAAGUCCCGCAACGAGCGCAACCCUCGUUCCAUGUUGCCAGCACGUCGUGGUGGGGACUCAUGGGAGACUGCCGGGGUCAACUCGGAGGAAGGUGAGGACGACGUCAAAUCAUCAUGCCCCUUAUGUCUUGGGCUUCACGCAUGCUACAAUGGCCGGUACAAUGGGUUGCGAUACUGUGAGGUGGAGCUAAUCCCAAAAAGCCGGUCUCAGUUCGGAUUGGGGUCUGCAACUCGACCCCAUGAAGUCGGAGUCGCUAGUAAUCGCAGAUCAGCAACGCUGCGGUGAAUACGUUCCCGGGCCUUGUACACACCGCCCGUCAAGUCACGAAAGUUGGUAACACCCGAAGCCGGUGGCCUAACCCUUGUGGGGG
rnacentral:rRNA from 1 species